GAUAAAUUUUUUAUAUUUUGGAAUAAUUUAUUAUAAAUUUAUUUUACAUGUAAAUUUUAGUAUAAAAUUUUAAUUAUUUAAAAAAUAAUUAAUUUAAAGUAAACAGUAAUUAAAAUUAAAAAUUUAAGAAAUUAAGAUUUAGUAAUAUUUAAAUUAAUAACCAAUUUUGUGCCAGCAGUUGCGGUUAAACAAAAAUUAAAUUAAAUUAUUUCAGUAUAUAAUAAAUAAUUAAAUAUUAAAUUAAAUAUUAAAUUAUUAAGUAAAAUUUUAAUUAAAUUAAAAUUUAUUUAAAAAUUAUGAUUUAACAAAUUUUAUUAUAAACUAGGAUUAGAUACCCUAUUAUUAAAAAUUUAAUUUAAAAUACUAAAAUAGUAAAUAAUAUAUUAUUGAAACUUAAAUAAUAUGGCGGUAUUUUAGUUCAUUUAGAGGAAUCUGUCUAAUAAUUGAUAAUCCACGAAUAAAUUUACUUAAUUUUUAAUUUUGUAUAUCAUUGUUAAAAAAAUAUUUUGAAAUAAAAAUAAUAUUUUAAAAUUUAAAAUAAAAAUUAAUUCAGAUCAAGAUGCAGAUUAUAAUUAAGUUUAAGAUGGGUUACAAAAAAGUUAUUUAAACGAAAAUGAAUUUUGUAAUAGAUAUUUGAAGGUGGAUUUAAAUGUAAUUUUAAUUAAUUUAUUAAAAUGAUUUAAAAUUAAAAUAUGUACAUAUUGCCCGUCACUUUCAUUUAAAAAUUGAAAUAAGUCGUAACAAAGUAGAGGUACUGGAAAGUGUUUCUAGAAUGAA
rnacentral:ncRNA from 1 species